rnacentral:rRNA from 1 species
CCCUUAGAUGUCCUGGGCUGCACGCGCGCUACACUGACGAACUCAACGAGCUUAUCACCUUGGCAGAGAUGUCUGGGUAAUCUUUUGAAAGUUCGUCGUGCUGGGGAUAGAUGAUUGUAAUUAUUCGUCUUGAACGAGGAAUUCCUAGUAAGUGUGAGUCAUCAGCUCGCGCUGAUUACGUCCCUGCCCUUUGUACACACCGCCCGUCGCUCCUACCGAUUGAAUGGUCCGGUGAGGUUCUCGGAUUUUUUCUGUCGUUUGGUUCGCUAAACGAUUGAAGAGAGAAGUUACCCAAACCUUACCAUUUAGAGGAAGGAGAAGUCGUAACA